UUGUAAGUCUGGUUCCAGGAACGCUGGUGUCUCCUUCUGGCUUCUAUGGACACUGCACAUACAUGGAAUCCAAUCACCUGCGUGACCCCACAAUCAGCAAAUUCCGGGAUCUCUCUGAGUGCUAACUGGCAUCCUUCUUGGAGACUCCAUUUUACUUAAAGUUCCCAAUUGCAAGUGGAAAUAAUGGAAGUCUUUUGACGGCAUCACUAAACAUCUGGAACACAAGCUGUGUAUCGAAGGUGCUAUGCUAUGCUGUUCGCAGACAUUCUGAGUUCAACUCUCCCAAAGCUGUCCCAGGGUAACCUGCAUUUCAUCUCGCAUCCCUGUAAACUGCCUGGUCCAAAAUAGAAUUUCUGUGAGUGACAAGAACAUUUGGGAGUAAUAUUCUCAGGUGCUUGGGUAGUCUGAUGUUGGGCAACUUUCAAUUUUCACAGCUGAACUUUAAAAUCUCAUUAAAGCAGCUUUUUGUUGCUAUUUGCUGGGUUUAAGUCAGCAGCGAUUCGCCAAAUGAGCAGGCACAGCGGGCUGUCUCUCCUGGCAAGCAUAAUAAACACCUACAAAGAACAUGAUCAAGAUGGAAAAAUGUGAUUUCAGAGUGAGAGCGCUGAGCUCCACCGUGAGAAUUGUCUUCAUCAGGCCUGACUGAUCUUUAUAGGUGGGUGACUUUGAAGGCAAGAGACACCUUUCUUCUCGUCCAUCAACCGGAGUGUUUGCAUUGGCAGGAACCAUGGAUGGGCAGAUUGCUAAGAAGUUUGGAAAUUUCACUGUCUGAUGCAACCUGGUGUCCUGAAUAACUUUAAAAAAAAAAAAAAAAACUGGCCUGAAAAAGAUCUCUUCCACUCAGAAUAGCUCUAUCCCUCAGCUGUCCUUUACCUAGCAUUUCCAACAGUUUUCUUAGCACCUACCUAGAAGAAUCCCAGGGCAGUACUAAAGCGGUCUCUGUUCACAGCAUACUAGUUAGUGCGCUGGGGCAUUGCUGGGUGUUACCAGUGAACUGGAUACAGGCUCAGAGUCCCAGAGUCCUCCACAGAAGGAAGACAAGUCUUGAAAAGAACUGAGCGUCAAAGAGAAAAACGGGCUGCAGGGAGCACAAGGCAGGGACACAGCCUACAGAGAGCUAAAGCUCUUCAGAUAUGACCUGCAGAUGGUGAACAGAGACAUGCGAAAGGACUCGUGGACCAGGGAGUAGGGGGAGGGCCACAGAAGUGGGGACAGGAAGGCAUGGAGAAAAGGAUAGGUGUGUAGCUCAGUGAGCAGUGAGUUUGCUUACAGUGCGGGAAGCCCUGGAUGUUACCCCUAAACCACUUCAGCUGGGCACGGUGGCACAUGCCUGCAACCCCAGCACUCAGGAGAUGGCCACUCGAGCACCGUUGGAAGCUCAAGGAUACCCUUAUUCAUGCAAUGAGUUUGAGGCCAGCUCAUUUCUUUCAGAAGGAAAAAAAAGGGGCAGGGGAGAAGGAAAGGAGGGAGGGAAAAAGGGAAGAAAAAAAUGCAUUCCUUUAAUUGAGUGUGAAAAGAGCAAAUCUGAGGAACAAAGGAGCCUGAAUGCUGGAAAUGCCUGACUCCUCCACACUAUUAAAUACCCUUUGCACCCACAGGCAGAUGCUCAAGAACUCCAGGCUUUCCCUGGUGCAGCAGACAAUUGUCUUAACUUAGAGAAGGGCUUUCAUCUAGCUUCCUCCUUUCCACCUCUCUCUUGUUCCUCCCUAGAGCCACGUCUGUGGAUAACAUGGGCUCUGCUGACUGUCUCUAUUUGCCAGAAGGACCUGUCUCUAAGGGUAGGAAUCCAUCCCAUCGCAACAGGCCGAUAAGGAAAAGACUCGAGGACUUAGAACUUUAGGUUCUUUGAAGAGUCUAAAGUCACCUUGUUCAGAGUAUCAGAGCUUCUUAAACACUAUCUGACAGGCAGGCCGCCCAGUCUUGGAAUCUCCAGUCCUUCCUUCUCAAAGGUGGCUCAGAACCUGCCCUGCACACACCUUGAUUUCAGGACUCUGCUCAGUAGCAAUCAAGGACGUUAAUCAGGAGCUGGUUUGCAUUAACGGGUACAAAGCCCCUGUUCAGCACUGGGGUAGCGCAGGGGUGGGGGUUGUGGAGAUCCCUAGCAUCUUGCCUGGGUUGGUAAUGAAAACAAGCCACUACUUAGCCUAACUGGCUGUUUAUGUUGGGGACAGAGUGCUCCACACUGGCCGCUCAGGGCCUGCAGUGGGGAAGCUGCUGACAGGCCGGGGCGGCGGAUAAUGUGAGCAUUCAUUCACUCCAGCUGCUGUUUGCCUCGCACUCCUGUGUGGAGGAGAAGGAAAUGGAUAAGAGCGAAGAGAAAUGAAGGGCCGUGAAGGCCAUUUAGAGAAGCCAGCUUCCAGGCCACCCUGUAGGGAAGGUCACGCUGGAGAGUUGAGACACAGUGUCUGCUGAGUAGUGCGAACUUUUGUUGCCCAGCUUGCCCAUGUCUAAAAUAAGGCUAGUUAAACAUUUCUAGCAUUUCCAAAUAUUCUUCAUGAUAUUUCCCCCCCAAUGAGCUGCUUGCUUAGGAAGGGUGGAUAGACCCAAUGCCCUUCAGUCACUUUGGAUGCAGUUCAUCCUCUUUUAACCCAUACGAAAGAGCUGGGUCAGUUACUUUGGCAGUCCCUCCCUCUGGCAUAUACCGAUAAGAGGCCCUGACUGGGAGUCCCUGACCCAUUCUCAACCUCAGCCACACGAACAUGACCUUGGAGCAGUUAUGUAACUGUUCUGGUCUUCUGUUGCCUCACUUUGAAUAUGGACAUGAUAACCACUGCCUCACCUCCCACAGUGGCUCUACAAGUGAGGUGAGCAAACAGCUACCAGUUUCUUCAUAUAAUAACCAGGACAUCUCCCAGGGCAGAUGUGGCAAGAGUGUAUGCAAAGGGCCACAUAGUGAAUACUGUAGGCUCUGGGCACUCCAUCGGGGCUCAGCUGAAUGGAUUUUUUUUUGUGGGUUUUUGUUUUUCUUUUGUUUUGGUUUUUGUUUUGUAUACUCCUUGGAAACCCUGACAGUUAUUGUCAAGCUCAUGGAUGAUAACAAACCAUAGGCUGGACUUAACACGCAGGCAAUUAUCUUCCAGGCCUUGCUAAGCACUAGCAACAGACAGACGCCAAAGUUAGGGUGAAAAAAAGAGCCCCUCUGUAUCGAAAUAAAUAAUAUAUGAAGUUUAUGCAGCCAUAAAUGAAUGUGUUCUGAAUAUUUUCUGACUUUUGGCCUGUACGUGUAAAAUUAUUUGAAUCUCAGUGCCUGUGCCAUGGUGGCAGGUUUUCCUCUCUGUGGCAAAUACCGGAGAGAAACAACUGAAAAGGAAUAAGAGCUCCGUUUGGCCUUAUAUCUUCAGAGGCUGCAGCCCAUGGUAACUGGGGCCUGUAAUGAAGCAAAACAUCCAUUGAUGGAUGAGUCCAUGGAGUUAGAAACUUCAUGAUCCAGUCACCACCCAACAACUGGAUCCUCCAAAUGGGAGCAGAGUCCUCAACGCAUGAGCCUUCCGGGGCACACUGCAUGCUCAAACCAUUGCAGCCACUUUGUUCCAGUAAUCAGUCUCAGUUGCUGGUCUUAAGCAUGCUGUCAGAUCAAGCCUGGAAGCAUCUCGAAGUCAAGCCUUUGGCCUCACCUGGCCAAAGCCUUCAUUCCUAAGAAGCUCACCAAGUCCGCCUAUCAACGAAGUUCUCAAGGAGUUCUCAGGUUCUUUCUUCCAGUUUGCUUUCUGUUGCUGUGAUGAACAUUGAGGCCAAAAGCAACUUGAGGAGGAAAGGGUUUAUCUGAACUUAUACUUCCAGAUCACAGUCUAUCACUGAAGGGAGACAAGGCAGGAACUCAAGCAGGAGCUGACGCAGAAAGCACAGAAGAAGAAUGCUGCUUACUGACUGGAUUCUUGGCUCACAUUCAGCGACUUUCCUUCUUUCUUUCUUUCUUUCUUUCUUUCUUUCUUUCUUUCUUUCUUUCUUUCUUUCCUUCCUUCCUUCCUUCCUUCCUUCCUUCCUUCCUUCCUUCCUUCCAUCUGCCUGCCUGUCUUUCUUGCUUUCUGCCUGUCCAUCUGUCUGUCUGUCUACCUUGCUUGGUUGAUUUGGUUUGGUUCAAGACAGGAUUUCUCUAAGUAACAUCCCUGACCAUCCUGGAACUCACUUUGUAGACCAGGCUGGCAUUGAACUUACAGAGGUCUGCCUGUCCUUGCCUCCCAAGCACUGGGAUUAAAAGCAUGUAUCACCACCACCCAGCUCAGCUAUCUUUCUUAAAUAGCCAGGCUUACUUGCUAUGUAUGGUACCAUACAGUGGGACCUUCCCAAAUCAAUUAGCAAUCAAGAAGAUGCACCCACAGACUUCUCUUCAGGCUAACUUGAUGAGAUACCCAGCACCAUGGGCUGAGCAAAGGUUUUUAGCCUAUCCAGCUUGCGGACAGCCAUUUUUGGGCUACCUAGACCAUGUCUUAUGAAGCAACCUAAUAACUUCCCUUUGUAAUAUAAAUUAAUGUUGUAAGUUCUGUUCCACCGGAGAACUCUGUCUAACACACUCACACCAAAGCCAAUGCCCAUGCUCUGUCUCCUACGGCAAGUCAGGUCCCUGCUCACUCUGUAAAUCUCUUCCUUCCUAGCCUCAUCCCUUGUUUUAAGGUAGCAGAAAAGCCACAGCAAAAAGCUCUGGGUGAGUAUGUAAAAGUACAAGCAGUGCUUAUUUCAUCCUCUUUCCAAGCAUUUCCAAAGAGAACCAGUGGGCCAUAACUCUUGUCUGGACUAGAACAAUGAAAGCAGCUCAAUGUCUGUCUGUCUGCCUCAUUCUCUCUCUCAUACACACACACACACACACACACACACACACACACACACACACUAGAGGCGGUGCCAACUGGAUACCUCUUGCCUUGGUUGAUAACCACUGAGACACAGUGCAAUAAUGCAGCUAGGUAGAACAGGUUCUGAGGUGGCUUCUGCCUUUUUUUUUUUUUUAACAGAGAGGAUUAUGAGAGCCUGAGAGGAUGUGUGCCUUUCAACACGAGGGCUGAGCCUAGAACAUACGGUCCUGUUCAUUUUCUAUCACAGUCUUCUCUUGUUCAAAGUGUCAGCUGUCCCGAAGGUCACGUGGUUCCAGAGCCUCCUCAUUUCAUCCUCCGUGACAGUCAUUUCCAGCCCAGAUGACAAGUGCUGUCAUUUCUAUUUCAAAUACAUUGCUUCCUCUGGAUCAUGGUGCUUUUUGCUUCAUAUCAUCUUAGCAUAUAAGGAUAAGACCCAGAGCUCAGGGUAGCUGUUUCAGCCUCACUCAGAGCAGAGGAAAGCGCUGGUGCCCCAGCAUAGGCUGCACCUCCAACUUGGAUGAAGGCACUUGUAAAUGCCUGACCCUGGUCACGAGAGGGAAGCCUAGAUGGCUUAAAGAUAUAUAACGACCCUCCCAGGCAAAAUAACAAAACGGACCCAUCGCAAAGAAAAUCAUCUGCAUUGUUUCCCCUCAUGAGAAAAAUACCUUAAACAUGAAAACCCAGCAAGAGCCGUGCCUAGCAACCAUCACACACACGAUAAUGGCAGCUUGUGUGAGCGGGAGUCUGAGAAAAGCAUUUCAUUUCUAAGGUAAAGCAUCUCAGGAAAGGAACAAGGCAGGUUAAUGAGCCUCAAAGAUAAGUGCUUUCUUUGGGAAUACUGCACAAACAUCACUUUCUUAAUAAAAGCACAAAGAAAGGAGAUCGAUGCCUUCCUUCCCUGGAACUAUGGAGAUACAGGUUAAAAGCCGCUUAGGAAAGAGCGGAGUUUGACAGAUCCGUGACUCACACUAACUUCAGUUACGGCUGAAUUUCACCACACAGCGGAUAAGGUUCUCCUUGGUCUGGCCUCAGCUUUUCUUUCCGAUCCUUGUCUGUGUCACUGUAUCGAACGCCUCCUCACCUGUCUGGUAACCUGCUUAUACCUUCCCAAUAUACUGCCUCUCUUCCUUUCUCUUUCUCCUUCUCCUCUCUCUUCUCCUCCUUCACCUCUGUGCCUUUGCAUUGCCUGUGUAGAAGCGCCUUUCCCCAUUGCCUGACACUGUAAACUCCCACUCUUCUUUCAACAUGGAGUACAAACGGCCCCCUGUGAGGCCUCCUCUGAACCCCAUACACAGUUACUUCUCUCUUCUCCCUGUAUGGAUGUGGACAUGCUUCCAUAAUGAAACAUCUAAGUUCUCCAGGAAGUAGUCUAUGUGUUUCUCUCUUCCCACAGUGUGAGCUCCUGAGCCUAACCCAGGGCCAGAACACAGUAAGCUCUUAGAAAUGUUGACUGAAUGAAUAAGUGACUCGGAACCAGAGCUCAGAAGGUUGGGAGAUCCCAGCAGGGUGGCUGGGGACUCUGCUUAGUGAUAUCCACUUCAGGGUCUUUAAAGUGAUCUAGUGAUGGACAGGAAGAAAAUGUAACUCCUGUCCAUGUUUAUUCAUCACAGAGUAUCCAUGGGAACAAACUCUCCUUAUAUUAUUUCAUACAAACUGAUGGAGGCACAUGUAUUUACACGAGAACGGGUAUGUGUUUAAAAUGGCAGACCAUAACUAUAAACAAUAGAGAGGCAUUCAAGGAGUCCAAACAGGGAAAACAUGAACGCACAAGAGAGUAAAAGAAUCUGUCUUGAAGAUAAGGUGUUAAGGACAUCAGUCUUGAAUGGAGCACCAAAGAGGCUCAUGCAUAAGGAAUAAGAGACUAGACAAGUGUGGGGCACUAGGUUUUGCCGCAGGAAAACCUACCAAGGAAUUUCUGUUAUGGUCUUCAAUAUUACUAAGCUGGUAGGCAGCAGUUAGGAACUCAACGGAGACCCUCAAAGGCAACAGGAAAGAAGCUGAACUCGGAGGGAAAAGCAGACAGCCUCCCCCCCCCCCAAGGCUUACAUUCUAUAGGGUCCUUUUAGAAGUGUUUCCCUACUUGUGUGGAGGGCAACAAAUCAGGACUCUCCAUCAGGCCUGUCCGACACCAGCAUGCAGCUUCUUAGAAAAGUCUAUUUAUAGCCUCUCCUUAUUGCAGCACACCGCAGUGGCCCUGUGGGUGGCCUGCCAGCUGGUGUGGGCCCAGGCUGGGUGAGUGACCCUCUUCUGGCUGCUUCCUGUUAGUUUAGGAAGCAACAAAGCAGGUGGAUUUGUUUGUCUGUUGAGCAACCUGCCGAUGUCUUGCCUAGCCUGACUCUCUCCCUUUAAACAUUAACCACUUUUAAAACCCUGUGUUUUAUGCUCAAGGCUGGGAGUGGGGGGCGGCGGGAGACAGGCACUAGAAAAGAAAGAGAAAGAAAAAAAAAAGGAAAGAGAGGGGAAGGAAACCUCCAACAAUAAUUCGCCUACUUCAUAGAGUUUAGGUGUCCCCUGGGCUCCGGGAGUUGGGGGCGCCAUUUCCGUCCUCAGAGACAGACCCCUGGUGAAGGAAAUACAUCAGAAAAGGAAACAGAAAAAAAGUGGGGGCGAGUCCGCUGCUGAAAUUGGGCCUUCUCCUGGGACCCUGUGCUCUCCAAAGGCUCAAUGGAAGAGACGGGAAAAGACAGGAAUCUGAAAAUCACCAGGGUCUUCAUUAAACUUGAGUAAAUAAAACAGACUCCGUGGGGUAAUGACGUUGGGGUUUCUCAGUUGGUAGGUAGAUCUCUAAGCUGGGGUUCUUUGCUUUAGGGCGGAGCCCCAGUUCUCUGUCCAGCUCUCUGAGAGAUACCGAGGUAAGCGGUCAUGGUCACAAGGGGGCGCUGCUCUUCCAAAGUGAGGAGGAAUGGAGCUUGGCAGCCCCCAGGGACGGCAAGACAGGAUGCUAGGGGAAGAUUUGGGGACAGGAAGUGGGAAAGAGACAAAACCUCAGCUGCAAACUAGAGAAGGUAAACAGCCAUUACCAGAGGCACGGGGUUCACGCAGCAGACUGGUGGUGUCUGUGUGGUUUAGCCUGGCCGCUGGUCCUUAGCAUGAAAACUAUGUCUUAGCUUUCUGAAGGCAGACUCUAUAUAGAGUAUUGGACAUAAACGCCACCUUUAGCAGCCAGUCUCUAGUUGGUCAGGCCUCUCCUUUGUUACAGACCUUUUGGCUAUAGUCCAUUUCUGAUCUCCAAAUUCCAGAAGAACUAAAACCCCAGGGCGUGGGAAGGGAAGAUAAUUAUCUUGGCCCUGUCUCCUGCAGCUCCCUGGUUCUUGGCAGCUCUGUAAUCAUGACCCACAGGCUAGUUACAUCCAGCUGGCUGCCUACUGCCAUGAAGAGGGUGCUCCUGGUGGCCGCUAGUGACCUCUGCCUUGUCAUCUUCAGAUUGUGCUCCGUCCUCAUUGAAUUAAGAUAAUUGUGUUUCUCUUAAACUGGGCUUAAGGUGCACCUUUACCCUUUGGAAAUGUGCAGCCCAACCAUCAUUUGGGUCAUUUUUAGCACUUAGUCCAGGUGCAUUUUCCUGCACUCCCUUCGCCGGCACUCCUCCACCCUGCCUGUGAGUUUUCUCUCUGUGAAUUCUUCUUUUCUUUUCUUCCAUCUGAAGUCCCGAUCUCAUCUUUUUUCUUCUCCCACUGAGAGGCUUGACCCGGUGUGAGUGGUGUUUGUUUAGGUGAGUUCCAUCCACUCCCUUCCAAGUUCUGGGGGUAGAGAUCUCACAUAAGCCUCUUGAACCUAAUGGUUAGGAAUCCCACUCAGAUUCUCAGACUCUCAGCUCUGACAACUACCAACCAGCUCUGCCACCAUGGGCAGGUUUCUUCAGUAUCCUAAGUCUCAGUUUCCUCACCUGUAAAGUGGAAAAAGAACCCUACUUACUAUUCUGGGUAAAUAAGCCAAGGCUUGUCCAGCAUAUCAAACAUAACCCUCAGUGAAUGUUUGCCCUUCUCAUUAUGAAUAUUUAUAUCCUCACUUUUACUCUAAUCCCUACGGGUUUAGUCUAGUAGAUGCUAAUAAUGUUUAUUGAAUUAGCAAUUAAGAUAUGUAACUGCAUCUAUACAUUAGGACGUUUUAAGAAGGCAUAGACAACUCAAUAUAUCCAUUCAUACAUAAAUAUUUUAUGCCAUUUCCUGUCUGUGAGGAUUUGCUUAGAGUGGAAUUAAUCUAAAUAAGCUCAGGCAACCUCCUUGCCACCCUCUCCCUUUGUGCUCAUUGCUUUAAGCUGCUUUUCUCGUUUCUUUCCCCAUCGUUAUGUUUGCUGCCUGAAGAGUCAACCUGGAGAAAAUGGUGGCUGCUUAAAAGGACUUUAAACUGUGUCUCUGUCCUCUAGAAGAAAUGGCUGCAAGAUUCAUUCCACCAAGCCUUUUGCUGUUUGAGCUUGGCCUGUCUUCCUGUCCGUCUCCACCUUGUGGAAUGGGGGUGGGGAGGAGAACUAAAGAAAGCCUGUGUCCUCCUCUUUGUU